AUACAGGGGGCAUCCUAACCAGAUGCCCGGGCCACCUCAUCUGGCUCCUCUCGAUGCGGAGGAGCAGCGGCUCGAAUCACCCCGUUUUGUUUUGUUUUUUUAAUAGGAGAGCCCGGAAACCCUGCGGAGGAAACUCACUUCGGCCGCUAGUAUCCGUGAUCUUGUUCUUUCGGUCACGACCCGCAGCUCGAGAUCAUAAUUGAGGGUGUUUACGAAAAAGAUGACAGACCUAUUCAAAUAGCCCAAACAUGUGAAGAAGACGGCUCUUGAGGAGAUGAACGGGGACGACGCGAGGAAAGAGCAAGAAGUCUGUUCCCAACCCUGCCAUGGCGCACAUCCUAACCCUGGCUUGAAACUGG